rnacentral:rRNA from 1 species
UAAUUUGAUCAUGGCUCAGAGUCACGCUGGUUAGUAGGCCUAACACAUGCAAGUCGAACGGCAGCACAGGAGAGCUUGCUCUCUGGGUGGCGAGUGGCGGACGGGUGAGGAAUACAUCGGAAUCUACUCUGUCGUGGGGGAUAACGUAGGGAAACUUACGCUAAUACCGCAUACGACCUACGGGUGAAAGCAGGGUGAUCUUCGGACCUUGCGCGAUUGAAUGAGCCGAUGUCGGAUUAGCUAGUUGGCGGGGUAAAGGCCCACCAAGGCGACGAUCCGUAGCUGGUCUGAGAGGAUAGAUCAGCCACACUAGGAACUGAGACACGGUCCAGACUCCUACGGGAGGCAGCAGUGGGGAAUAUUAGGACAAUGGGCGCAAGCCUGAUCCAGCCAUACCGCGUAGGGUAGAAGAAGGCCUUCGGGUUGUAAAGCCCUUUUGUUAGGGAAACGAAAUCCAGCCGGCUAAUACCUGGUUGGGAUGACGGUACCCAAAGAAUAAGCACCGGCUAACUUCGUGCCAGCAGCCGCGGUAAUACGCAAGGGUAGCAAGCGUAUACUCGGAACUUACUGGGCGUAAA